AAGUCGUAACAAGGUUUCCGUAGGUGAACCUGCGGAAGGAUCAUUAUCGAAAUAAACCUGAUGGGUUGCUGCUGGUUCUCUAGGGAACAUGUGCACACCUGUCAUCUUUAUAUCUUCACCCUGUGCACCUUGUGUAGACCUGAAUAUCUUUCUGAGUGCUUCCCAGCAUUCAGGUUUGAGGAUUGACUUUUCUGUCUUUUCUUGCAUUUUCAGGCCUAUGUUUUAUUCAUAUACCCCAAUGCAUGUUAUAGAAUGUAGUAAUUAGGUGUUUGUGCCUAUAAAAGUUAUACAACUUUCAGCAACGGAUCUCUUGGCUCUC
rnacentral:misc_RNA from 1 species